GGAACCAACAACACAAAUGAAUAGGAUAUUAAUUUCAUAAUGUUUAGCAAAUCAUUUUUCCCAUAAGGCAGCAGAAUAGUGGUGAGAACACAGACUCGGGAGUCACACAGAGCUGGGUCCAGAUCCCUCCUAGCCCUCUGACCUCAGUUUCCUCC